rnacentral:rRNA from 1 species
UACGAAGGGGGCUAGCGUUGCUCGGAAUCACUGGGCGUAAAGGGUGCGUAGGCGGGUCUUUAAGUCAGGGGUGAAAUCCUGGAGCUCAACUCCAGAACUGCCUUUGAUACUGAGGAUCUUGAGUUCGGGAGAGGUGAGUGGAACUGCGAGUGUAGAGGUGAAAUUCGUAGAUAUCGGGAGGAACACCAGUGGCGAAGGCGGCUGUCUGGGCCAGUUCUGACGCUGAGGCGCGAAAGCGUGGGGAGCAAACAGG